UAAAGUGCUAUGAUGAAGAAUAGUAAAAGUCAAAUUUAAGAGAAAAAGUCCAUAGGCUGUAAGGCUUUUAACAGACUUUGAACCAGCUUCGGAGCAAUAGGAAAAAACUAUCGGUUUAAUACCGUUAUCAUUAUUAGAGAACAAAUUUAGGUGGUACCGCGAUUGAAAUUCGCCCUAAUU
rnacentral:ncRNA from 1 species